AGAGAAAUGGGAAGAGAGAAAGGAGGAGAGGGAGGAAACAAAGAAGAAUACAUGUCUGAAAGUGGAACACAAUAUUGCUUCCCACUAUAAUUCAUCAUCAAGUGGACAAAAUACAUCAUUAAAUAAGUGUAUCCAUGGAAAUCUUGAGAAUCCUUUCAACACUUCACUUUUCAAGACUUCACUUUUUCAAAAUCUAACUAAUCAUACAUGUCAUUGGAGGAAAUGUACUAUGCAAGGCCAAAAAAAAUACUUUUUUUUAAUGAGGAAUUUGGUUGAUUUCUUA